GGGCUGGGAUAGGAGAGCUUGGGUGGGUGAGGAGAGAGGGUAGCACGAGGAAGUAGGUUAGGGGCGUUGAAAGGGGCGGUUAGGCGGCGGCGUGGUGGACGCAGGAGUGGGUCGGCGGCGUGGUGUACGGAAGGGUGGGGCGGCGGUCGGGCCCGAGCGCGGCCGGGCAGCGGAGAGUGGAGGUUGGCGUGGAGGAACGGCCGGCAACGCGGAACAGGAGGAAGAGCCGCGUCCUCACGGGAGGAAGGAGGGGUACACUCUCGUGGGGACGGUGGAAGAGGGGCACCGCGCGGCGGGGAGGUGCGCUGCCGGAGUUGAGGAGGCAGCUCGUACCCGGGAAGGAUGGAACGUCCGUGGAGCGUUCCCGGAUCUAGGCCGCUGUGGGCUCCGCAGGGGUCGCUCCAUCUGAGGGCCGCUACCUAGGCCUGUCCGUAGGCGGUGGUCGCGCGGAGGGCCGCCGCCUAAGCCCGACCGUUGGCGGGGGUCGUGCCGGUGUUGCCGGCUAAAAGUACACACGCCGCAGGGCAGGUUGGUACUGUACGCAGCAGGGGAGCCGGGGGUUCCGCGGUGGCAGCGGCUGUGGCAGCGCGGCGACCCCCUCCCGGUCCAGGCAGCGCGGGCGUUUCUCGAGUGACUGGAAGUAGAAAGAGUACGAGCGACUGUUCCUGCAGCCAUCGCCACUGGUCCCGUCAAAGAGGAAGCUGGCCCACACUUCACGUAGGGCAGGGUACGUCAGGUGAAGGUCCGUUGUCGAGUGCCUCGUUGUGGCUAAUAGGGUCCGUUGUUGAAUAAAACAAACAGAUAUGAUUACUUCAAGUAAAAUAAGAUGUGUCCGUUGUCGAGUACCUCGUUGUGGCUAAUAGGGUAAUCCACACGUUAAGAACAAACGUCUCUUUCUCCACGAGCCACCUUCUUCUUGUUCUUCUUACCGGUCGGUGGUUUGGUCUCCCUAUCGUGGCGUCUGAGGAGUUUAGUUAAGACGUACACACGUUUUUUUCUGGAGUGGUGGUGGUGUUCUACCUCGGCUGCCCCCGUCGUACGUUAGGAAGACCGCUACCGCACAUCAAAACACUGAGCAAAUCAUGUGCGUACGGGAACCAUAUGCGGUGCCCAGGAGGGUCCGGGGCUACGACCGCUGCUACAGUUGCCGUCGGGGAGACACGUCAAGUACGCUGCGUGGGCACGCCACGCCUUGCAUAAACGUACGUCAAGAGAAGGAGCGCGUACGUACAUCAUCCCAGGUUACCAACACAUCAAGUGGCGACCCACCACGAGGUUACGUCAAUCUAGCGUCCACCACAAGUGGUUAAAGCGGAGGGGGUGCUGGAGCAGUGAAGUGUGAUGGCUGUACCCGUACGUCGAGUGAUAGAUCUGUUUCACUUUGACUUCAAGUGUUUUUUUAUACUAACUUCAAGCGUUUUUUACGCAAUCUCUUUCAACAAUUUUUUCAUUCUACAAGCAUGUCAAGUGAACUAGUUAAGUUCUGUUUCAGAACAGCUAAAUCUUAAACCGAAGGAAGAACACACGCGGUCGGUUUCUUAAAAUCACGCAUUAUUAUAUGAAAAACAAAGUCAGGUACCUCGACUGACAGUCUAAACACGAAGAGAUAGAAACAAAAGAGAAACAAUACGUCUUUGGCUACCUUUCCUAAAGACCCGACCACGAGUAGUUAGAACCCACUGAGUAAAGUCUACGAGGAACCCCCACUAGAGUGAGGGGAUAUUUUAGAAGUACCAAAGAAACAUGCCGAUACCUUUAAGAGGUAGUUUGGUGAGCCGAAGUCUAUUUUUCUCAUGUAUACGCGUGUAAAGAAGACUGACUCUAGUUCUCUACCACCACGCUUUUCUCCAACCUAAUACCUAGAGCGCUGGUGGUCCAAGGGCGGUACGGUGCGCUAGGUUCGAAACGAGCCCAUGUAUGUGUGUAAACCCGUAACCUCUAAUACGUAAUUUCACUCGAACGUCACGUGAUCGAGUAGCACACUACUUCUUUGUCCACAGAGCAUACGACUUAAACUACACAGGACACACAUGACAAACACAUUUUUCUUGUUACAAAGUAAUAAGGAGACAUACUUCACGUUAAACAAAGCACACCUAGUUUUAAGUCAGUUGAUGUAGUUGUGGACAUCACACAAACCAGGAGCCUACACCAAGUGAAAACUCUGACUACGACAAGUGAACACGGGUUGUAUUUUCACACUUUUAUAAAUCGCUUUGUUGUUAUCGUUACUCCAAAUCAAGCUGUAUACAGCGCCAAGUAAACGGGAGUAGAGGC
rnacentral:rRNA from 1 species